AUUGAACGCUGGCGGCAUGCCUAAUACAUGCAAGUCGAACGGAAGCAGCAAUGCUUUAGUGGCGAACGGGUGAGUAACACGUAGGGAACCUACCUAUACGACGAGGAUAACUACUGGAAACGGUAGCUAAAACUGGAUAGGAUCAAUUGAGGCAUCUUGAUUGAUUUAAAGAUCCUUCGGGAUUACGUAGAGAUGGCCCUGCGGCGCAUUAGCUAGUUGGUGAGGUAACGGCCCACCAAGGCGACGAUGCGUAGCUGAGCUGAGAGGCUAAACAGCCACACUGGGACUGAGACACGGCCCAGACUCCUACGGGAGGCAGCAGUAGGGAAUUUUCGGCAAUGGGGGAAACCCUGACCGAGCAAUGCCGCGUGAACGAUGAAGGUCUUCGGAUUGUAAAGCUCUUUCGGACGGAAGAAAUACGCCGCCUCUAACAUAGGCGGUGGAUGACGGUACCGUAAGAAGAAGCACCGGCUAACUACGUGCCAGCAGCCGCGGU
rnacentral:rRNA from 1 species